UGGUAAAGUUGUGUCUGGAUC
rnacentral:siRNA from 1 species